AGAAAAUGAGUGGCUCCCUCAGGACAGACUACAACCUGACAGAGGUCGUUGUCAUGGUGAAACAGAACUCUACCUACCCAUGGCCACUCCCACUGGGAUUCCAGCUUUUGCUUGGGGAAAUAUGUUCUAAGGCUUGAUCCUCAUAGCUGGAUUAGUUCAAGAAGAAGAAAAAGAAAACCAUGUUAAAGAUGAAGGCUUUACUAUUGAAACUUGACAAUUUUUUUCCUACUGAAGAAAAGAAUUCAUCCAUGACUCUUCACUCUCCCUUGCUUUCUGUGUUGAAAAAGUUAUUGAAUCCCUAUCCUUCCACUGCUGGAU